rfam:Yokenella regensburgei ATCC 43003 genomic scaffold Scfld157, whole genome shotgun sequence.
ACGGUUAUAAAUCAACACCUUGAUUUAUAAAUCAUGGAAAUCCCCUGAGUGAAACAACGAAUUGCUGUGUGUAGUCUUUGCCCAACUCCCACGUUGGGCUUUUUUUUUG